rnacentral:lncRNA from 1 species
AUUUAAAGAGAUUUAUUCAUAACUUUUGCAUUAAAAUAAUAAUAACAAUAAACUUAUUCCUGAGAAUUUAACAUGUCAAAAUUAAUGUACCAAUGAUUCAGUUUCAUAUUCUAUGCUCACAAAAAAUACAAAUAACCACUGGGAAUUUACAAAAUAGAACUGGAUUACUCAACAUUUCUAUUAUUGCAUAUCUAAUAGAUAUAAUUGAUAUCAAUUCAACUAAAUCAAUCGAUUGGAAGUGUGGAGUUCAGAAGGAUGCCUCUGAGCUUUUUUUCGAGAGGCUUCAUUCACACUAAGCCAACACAACCUGCUCGUUUAUUUCUGCAUAACUAGACUUGUUGAAUGCUUCAAGUGCCUAGGUUUGGUACAGAUUAUUAACUACUAGAUUACUAAUAUUCUUCGAUGAGCAAGUUCGCAAAUUAGAGCACUACGCAAAUUAUUUCUGAAAAUCAUAUCGAGAAAAUGCAGGAACUAAGCAGUGCAUUCGAUGAUCAAACCAGGAGCUGUAUUAGGUGUAAUCCAAGUUGAUGUAAAAUUAUACGCAAAUCAAGGAAUGCGUCAAUCAUCUCAACAAUGCUCACCUCUUUGUCUGAAGCCUGUUAUUCCUCUAUCCACUCUGCCUUUCCGUUAACAACCUCCGCGCAUUCCAACACCUUCGGGUUGAACUCCCUACACCUGCAGAAAACUGCCAGCUACGGCCUCUCAAAGUUCCCAGGACACAGGCUAGAGCGCAUCGAAGUAGAAAGAAACGAUCACAACUCGAACUCCGACCUCGACCUGGGAGCAUUGAUAUAUCAAUGUCGCGUCCAU